rnacentral:rRNA from 1 species
GUGAGGAAUAUUGGUCAAUGGACGCAAGUCUGAACCAGCUAUGCCGCGUGCAGGAAGAAGGUUCUAUGGAUCGUAAACUGCUUUUGUACAGGAAGAAAUUAUCCCUCGUGAGGGAGCUUGACGGUACUGUAAGAAUAAGGAUCGGCUAACUCCGUGCCAGCAGCCGCGGUAAUACGGAGGAUCCAAGCGUUAUCCGGAAUCAUUGGGUUUAAAGGGUUCGUAGGCGGUUUUGUAAGUCAGUGGUGAAAGUUUGCAGCUUAACUGUAAAAUUGCCAUUGAUACUGCAAGACUUGAAUGUUUGUGAAGUAGCUAGAAUAUGUAGUGUAGCGGUGAAAUGCUUAGAUAUUACAUGGAAUACCGAUUGCGAAGGCAGGUUACUAACAAAUUAUUGACGCUGAUGGACGAAAGCGUGGGGAGCGAACAGGAUUAGAAACCCGAGUAGUCC